UUCUUUUUAAAGUUUUUAUUACAGAAAGACUAAAAUAGGAAAAAAAUGGGAGUGUGAUGUAAUUGGACCAAGUAUCCACUGCCCCAAUGUAAUACUUAUUAAUUCAUAGUCAUUGGUAUUUUAGCUUUACUUCCAACACCUGCUGGAUGAUUUUAAAGCAAAUUUCAGAUACCAUAUAAUUUAAUCCACAGAUAUAGUACUUACUAUUAAACUAGAAGAGUACUUUGAAAUCUAGUCAUGAAAUGCCUUUGUUGGUACUUUUCUUUCCAAAGUUUUAUCUAAAGCCAACUGUGGCGUAGUUAACUGUGGUCUGACAAAUGGCACAGAUCUGCUGCCUCUUUUUGCAAUGAAAGCAUUGAUGUUAGGUCUGGUGCUUUCUGCCAUUGAACUAUUCAUUGUCCUUCCACAAAUUUUAUCCACUGAUUUGAAACCUUAGCUUAAGCUCUACGGUUUCAAUAGUGCUGGCCAUCAUUUUAGAUUGCUGUGUAGUUUCAAAGACUAAAACACUGUUGCAAAAUUUAAAUAUUUUUUAAUAAUUGAUUUUUUUCUUGUCAUAAUCCAGGCAGGGUCCUGAGUAGUACUUGACUGGUAAUUUCUCUUUUAUUUCUAUAAUUUUGUUUUGAGUGGAAGAGCUUAAUAAUUCUACACGUGCAUCAGAAUAUCAUUUAUUGAAUUAAAAUCAACAUGGGCAUUCUCCAUAUAUUUUCUAUACAUUGUAGAAGAAAGUGUUAAAAGAGGCUUUUGAGCAGUUACUUGUGUAAGGAAUGUGGUCAGCAUCAGUUCCCUUAGACCUGGAGUUAAAGGUGUGUGUGAGUCAUCUGAUGUGGUUCUGGGAACUGAAUUCAGAUUCUCUGCAAGAACAUUAAAUGUUUUUAAGUGCUGGCCCAUCUUUCCAGCCCGCCAAUGUUUUCUAUUCCUAAAUCUUAUGAUGCCACAGUGUAGUGUUUUCAUUAAAGGAGGGUAUCUUAUUUUCUACAACUUUAUUUGAAGGGUUUUUAUUGGGAGAUGAGAGAAGGAUUGGUGGAUAAAACAUUUGCCCCACAAGAGUCAAGAUCCCAAGAAUCCAUGUUAAAGCUGGACAGGUGUGGCACCUUACCUGUAAUCCCAGAAUUCAGAAAGCAGAGAAAGGAAGUAUCUGGGGCAAGUUGGUUAACUAUACUAGCCAGAACUGUUGAACUCUGGGUUAGUGGGAGACCCCGCCUCAAUAGAAAAAAAAUGGAGAAUCAUCAAGGAAGAUACCUGUUGUCAACUCUUAGUCUCUACAUACACAAGCACACAUAUGUGUAGGUACCUCUGCACACAAACCUGUGUGCCCAUACAUAUAGACACACACAUAAUAGACAACUUUUUACUUAUAUAAUAAUAAGUGAGAUUGGUUUGCCAUUUUGUGAUACUGUUAAGUUUUAACAUCAGCACUAUGACGUUUCCCUUUGGGCAUCUUGAUUGGGCUUGUUAUUGUUACUUAGGAGUUAUUUCAGGAAAUUUCCACGUGCUCAGCAACUAGCAUAGUGCUCCUGGAACAGGUUACCUAUGUAUUCAAGUCUAUGGUGUCAUGACGGUGAUAUUGUCUAGGGUUUUUGUAAUGAAUUCCCUUUUCUGCUGAUUUAAAGAACAAAUAGUCAGGAAAAACAAGGUCUAAGUACCAGGUCAGAUUUUUACUGUUGAAACACACACACACACACACACACACACACACACACACACACACACACACCCCAACAUAUACAAAGAGGCAGACUCCCCAAGAAGGAAAGAGGACCCAGAGUUGGUGUCUGAGAUUGCUGAGAGAAUGGGAGAUGUUGUCUUUGGCAAUGGGAUGAGUUCCCUUUCUCUCACAGAACUGGCUGGUUUGGGUUAUUGCAAGGGAUUGGAUUCUAAUCCAGAUAAAGAAGGGAAGCUGGUUGGUUUCCAACACGGGAGCCACACACAAUCCUCUUGGGCAACUUCAAAGUCCCACAAAACAGUUUCCUAUAGGAGGAAAAUAUCUACCAAGACUUUGUCUUCGAGAAGAACAGGAAGUCAGUCAUAUUAAAUGCUUAAGUGAAAAGGAUAUUAAUCUACCAAGAGCCUCUUUCCCUUGCCUGCCGCAGGGGAUGUGUCUAACUCCUAGUCUACCAUUUUAGUAUUGGACAAAUUGAUACAAACAUUGUUUGAGCCUAGAGCAGAGGGUGGAGAGGACUCAACCUCUGGGGAAGGGAGGUAGCUGGGUGGUGGGAGGAAGUUUGAGAGAGAAAUUGCAUAGACAAGUGUCCGACGAAUGGAUCAGUCAAGCUUCGGGGGAUAGAGUGGAUGGGGAGGAUGAUGGAUGCGGAACAGCUGCCCACACAAAACUGGACAAAGAAGACGACAUCAGGGAGUCAGCACUUUGAGUGGAUGCUGAUGGCGUUAGGGUGAAAUGGUGGACCUAAGCGCUGGGCGCAGCACGUUCUCAGGACACGGGGAACUGGUGCCAAGCUGCUGCCCUCUUCACUAAGAUGCUCUCGCCUGUUAUCCUGACAAAAGUCCUCAUCUGCGGAACUUUCAUGAAAGCCUCUAAAAACUCCACCAGUGACACAGGAAAGUGGCAGUGACGCAGCCACAGGGAGCGUUGAGGCUCUUCUUGAUGCCAUGAAAAGAAAUCUACUCCCAUGGAGCCAUCAUGGCCUGUUCCCACGGAGCCAUCUUUUCUUCUGAGGAUACAGAAAGCUGUGAUGUAACUGGGAGCUCCACAAGAGACAUGAAUUCUACAGCUAGAAACGAGCAGGUCUUUGCCAAGACUAAGGUCUAGAGCAGUGAAAAUAUUGCUGUUAAAGACAUCUCGUACAGGAGCAGACUAGUGAGCCACGAUGUGAUCCCAGGAUUCUUUCUGUCUGGAGAUUAUAACUACAUGUCUUUGGAACAACUCAACGUUGUUUGUAAACUCUCCGCUUUGGCCUCCCAGCCCGUGUUGUUUUGUAGCCGUCCUGAUAUUUUUGUCACAAGCGAAGAUUUGCCAGCGGCCUCAGCAACAUUUAAGAGAAAAAAGUGAUGGUAUGAUAAUGGUGGUCAACUUAUUUAACAUGUUUUAUAUUUUAGGCGAAGUAUCUUACCGGUAAACCCAAAUGCUGCUUGAUUUUUCCCCCUUCAUUUAAGGGACCAGUGAACAUGUUUUUGCCUCAUCCCCAUCUAAGGAGUUGAUUUGUCUUCUGAUAUUCACACUGAAUUGACGGUAUCCAGUUUCUGUUCUUGUUCUGUGCUGGAGAGCCAGGAGUGUGCUCAGAGCAAAUGAACAGCGUGGAGCCGAAAGACAUGAAAUCACACUUUUUGUUAGGUGGCACUAAACUCUGACCUCUAUAAAACUCUGGACGUGGCAAUGCUUGAAUUCUCUUUAUGUAUCUCCUUUGGUGCUGAGUGUCCCAGUGGGUAUCAUGGCAGAACUGAAAGCGGACACUGCAAACUUUCUGCCUCAGAGAGCCCUCCCUUCCCUGGACCUCACAGGCCAUCUGUGGGAAGAACAUGAGAUGGAAUGAGCCAGGCAGUCCUGCCAGGUCCAGCCUUAGCUCUGUUGGCAUCUCAAGGUGGGAGCCAGUGCUUGA